AUGAACGCUGGCGGCGUGCCUAAUACAUGCAAGUCGAGCGAACGGACGAGAAGCUUGCUUCUCUGAUGUUAGCGGCGGACGGGUGAGUAACACGUGGAUAACCUACCUAUAAGACUGGGAUAACUUCGGGAAACCGGAGCUAAUACCGGAUAAUAUUUUGAACCGCAUGGUUCAAAAGUGAAAGACGGUCUUGCUGUCACUUAUAGAUGGAUCCGCGCUGCAUUAGCUAGUUGGUAAGGUAACGGCUUACCAAGGCAACGAUGCAUAGCCGACCUGAGAGGGUGAUCGGCCACACUGGAACUGAGACACGGUCCAGACUCCUACGGGAGGCAGCAGUAGGGAAUCUUCCGCAAUGGGCGAAAGCCUGACGGAGCAACGCCGCGUGAGUGAUGAAGGUCUUCGGAUCGUAAAACUCUGUUAUUAGGGAAGAACAUAUGUGUAAGUAACUGUGCACAUCUUGACGAUACCUAAUCAGAAAGCCACGGCUAACUACGUG
rnacentral:rRNA from 1 species